rnacentral:rRNA from 1 species
AGGAAGUAAAAGUCGUAACAAGGUUUAGAAUGAGAUCCUUCCAUGGGUGACGCUCACGAGAAGCCUUUGUGGCCCCGCAAGGGGUAUCCGCCGCGACUGUAAAGAAGGAGGCUGGAUAUUAAAUCGCAAGUCGGACCUGUACAAGCCAGUCCGGCCACACUUUCGAAUUGCGGGGACACCCUUAAGCUCUCCUCUACCAAGCCGGUUGGGAAACCAGGUCGGUGGCCUGUGCUAACAGCACGGGGUACGGUAAGAAUGAGGUGAGAUUGGACAAUCCGCAGCCAAGUCCCUAAGGCGCUUAGCUAGGGGAAAGGUUCACAGACUAAGUGGAAGUGGGCCGAAGCAUGCCUUCGGCUUAAGAUAUAGUCGGGCCUCUCGGGAAACCUUGAGGGAGUCGCUCUGACCGAGUAACAGUAACUGUUCCGUAGGUGAACCUGCGGAAGGAUCAUUAACAAUGAUAACCUCUUUGGUUGGGUUAACGCCCUCCAAAGUUUAAACCACUUGUGAAACACAGAACUUUGCUUCGGCAGCAGGUCUGGGGCUUACGCUUCUGCACCGUCAGCCUGCCGGCAGCACCCAAUCAAACCUGUUUUUAAACCUGUCUGAAUGGAAUCAUUUUCGAAUGAAAAUUAAAACUUUCAACAACGGAUCUCUUGGUUCUCGCAUCGAUGAAGAACGCAGCGAAACGCGAUAGUUAAUGUGAAUUGCAGAAUUCAGUGAAUCAUCGAGUCUUUGAACGCACAUUGCGCCCAUUGGUAUUCCGAUGGGCACGUCUGUUUGAGCGUCAUUACAAACCUUCGGUUGAGACUUUUGUCCCUAACCGGUGCUGAGCUGGGCCUGACCUGUCAAAAGGUGGCCCGCUUUAAAUCGUACGCUCUGCGGGUGACCCAACCUGAACGAACAUAGUAGAUUUUUUUCAACUGUUCAACUAAGCGAAGGUCAGCUCCGCCUGAACAAACCCUUACAAGAGUUUGACCUCAGAUCAGACGAGGAUACCCGCUGAACUUAAGCAUAUCAAUAAGCGGAGGAAAAGAAACCAACCGGGAUUGCCUCAGUAACGGCGAGUGAAGCGGCAACAGCUCAAAUUUGAAAUCUGAGGUCUGCGAUCUCCGAGUUGUAAUUUGAAGAGGAUGCUUCGGUUGCGGCCCCGGCCUAAGUUCCUUGGAACAGGACGUCGCAGAGGGUGAGAAUCCCGUACGCGGCUGGCGGCUUGCUUCCAUGUGUAGCUCCUUCGAAGAGUCGAGUUGUUUGGGAAUGCAGCUCAAAAUGGGUGGUAAAUUUCAUCUAAAGCUAAAUACUGGCGAGAGACCGAUAGCGCACAAGUAGAGUGAUCGAAAGAUGAAAAGCACUUUGAAAAGAGAGUUAAACAGUACGUGAAAUUGUUGAAAGGGAAGCGCUUGCAAUCAGACUUGCAUUUGGUUGAUCAACGUUCCUUCUGGUUCGUGCACUCUGCCUUCUGCAGGCCAGCAUCGGUUGGAGCGGCGGGACAAAGGCUCCGGGAAUGUGGCUCUCUUCGGGGAGUGUUAUAGCCCGGUGUGUAAUGCCGUCAGCACCGACCGAGGUCCGCGCGCAAGCUAGGAUGCUGGCUUAAUGGUUGUAAGCGACCCGUCUUGAAACACGGACCAAGGAGUCUAACAUCUAUGCGAGUGUUUGGGUGUCAAACCCAUGCGCGUAAUGAAAGUGAACGGAGGUGGGAGUCUUCUGACGCACCAUCGACCGAUCCUGAUGUUCUCGGAUGGAUUUGAGUAGGAGCAUAGCUGUUGGGACCCGAAAGAUGGUGAACUAUGCCUGAAUAGGGUGAAGCCAGAGGAAACUCUGGUGGAGGCUCGCAGCGGUUCUGACGUGCAAAUCGAUCGUCAAAUUUGGGUAUAGGGGCGAAAGACUAAUCGAACCAUCUAGUAGCUGGUUCCUGCCGAA